AAGAUGAUAGUUUACUAAUUAAAAUACUGGAGUGUGGUUCUAGUGAAGCUUUUGCUCGUCUUA
rnacentral:tRNA from 1 species